AUGGGCGAAAGCCUGAUGCAGCAACGCCGCGUGAGGGACGACGGCCUUCGGGUUGUAAACCUCUUUUAGCAGGGAAGAAGCGAAAGUGACGGUACCUGCAGAAAAAGCGCCGGCUAACUACGUGCCAGCAGCCGCGGUAAUACGUAGGGCGCAAGCGUUAUCCGGAAUUAUUGGGCGUAAAGAGCUCGUAGGCGGUUUGUCGCGUCUGCUGUGAAACCCCGAGGCUCAACCUCGGGCCUGCAGUGGGUACGGGCAGACUAGAGUGCGGUAGAGGAGAUUGGAAUUCCUGGUGUAGCGGUGGAAUGCGCAGAUAUCAGGAGGAACACCGAUGGCGAAGGCAGAUCUCUGGGCCGUAACUGACGCUGAGGAGCGAAAGGGUGGGGAGCAAACAGGCUUAGAUACCCUGGUAGUCCACCCCGUAAACGUUGGGAACUAGUUGUGGGGUCCAUUCCACGGAUUCCGUGACGCAGCUAACGCAUUAAGUUCCCCGCCUGGGGAGUACGGCCGCAAGGCUAAAACUCAAAGGAAUUGACGGGGACCCGCACAAGCGGCGGAGCAUGCGGAUUAAUUCGAUGCAACGCGAAGAACCUUACCAAGGCUUGACAUAUACGAGAACGGGCCAGAAAUGGUCAACUCUUUGGACACUCGUAAACAGGUGGUGCAUGGUUGUCGUCAGCUCGUGUCGUGAGAUGUUGGGUUAAGUCCCGCAACGAGCGCAACCCUCGUUCUAUGUUGCCAGCACGUCAUGGUGGGAACUCAUGGAAUACUGCCGGGGUCAACUCGGAGGAAGGUGAGGAUGACGUCAAAUCAUCAUGCCCCUUAUGUCUUGGGCUUCACGCAUGCUACAAUGGCCGGUACAAUGGGCUGCAAUACCGCAAGGUGGAGCGAAUCCCAAAAAGCCGGUCCCAGUUCGGAUUGAGGUCUGCAACUCGACCUCAUGAAGUCGGAGUCGCUAGUAAUCGCAGAUCAGCAACGCUGCGGUGAAUACGUUCCCGGGUCUUGUACACACCGCCCGUCAAGUCAUGAAAGUCGGUAACACCUGAAGCCGGUGGCCCAACCC
rnacentral:rRNA from 1 species